rnacentral:lncRNA from 1 species
GAUCCUUCAGGAUGCUUCAGUAGUACCUGUAUCUUCAUCCAAAACCAUCAUGAUCCUAUUUGCCUCCCCAAGCCAGUUCUCUUCCUUACUUGCUACUGUUGCCACUGCUUCGGUUGUUUCUACUACCCAGGCCACAGUCUUCCAAGAUCCUAAUCCAUGAAAGGACCAUCAAGGAGAUAUCAGGAGAAAGGACUCUGACAAAUCAGCCUGCAGGAAAAUACAGUGUAGAAGUGAAUGUGGUCAAAAUCAAAAUCAUGAUCAUGAGAUGGUGAGAUUUAUUUCUUUUCUGCUUUUAACCGAUUGACAAGUGAAGGGACACAGA